UCCCUUAGAGUUUGAUCCUGGCUCAGGAUGAACGCUAGCUACAGGCUUAACACAUGCAAGUCGAGGGGAAACGACAUCGAAAGCUUGCUUUUGAUGGGCGUCGACCGGCGCACGGGUGAGUAACGCGUAUCCAACCUGCCCACCACUUGGGGAUAACCUUGCGAAAGUAAGACUAAUACCCAAUGACGUCUCUAGAAGACAUCUGAAGGAGAUUAAAGAUUUAUCGGUGAUGGAUGGGGAUGCGUCUGAUUAGCUUGUUGGCGGGGUAACGGCCCACCAAGGCGACGAUCAGUAGGGGUUCUGAGAGGAAGGUCCCCCACAUUGGAACUGAGACACGGUCCAAACUCCUACGGGAGGCAGCAGUGAGGAAUAUUGGGUCAAUGGGCGAGAGCCUGAACCAGCCAAGUAGCGUGCAGGAUGACGGCCCUAUGGGUUGUAAACUGCUUUAUAAGGGAAUAAAGUGAGUCUCGUGAGACUUUUUGCAUGUACCUUAUGAAUAAGGACCGGCUAAUUCCGUGCCAGCAGCCGCGGUAAUACGGAAGGUCCGGGCGUUAUCCGGAUUUAUUGGGUUUAAAGGGAGCGUAGGCCGGAGAUUAAGCGUGUUGUGAAAUGUAGACGCUCAACGUCUGCACUGCAGCGCGAACUGGUUUCCUUGAGUACGCACAAAGUGGGCGGAAUUCGUGGUGUAGCGGUGAAAUGCUUAGAUAUCACGAAGAACUCCGAUUGCGAAGGCAGCUCACUGGAGCGCAACUGACGCUGAAGCUCGAAAGUGCGGGUAUCGAACAGGAUUAGAUACCCUGGUAGUCCGCACGGUAAACGAUGGAUGCCCGCUGUUGGUCUGAAUAGGUCAGCGGCCAAGCGAAAGCAUUAAGCAUCCCACCUGGGGAGUACGCCAGCAACGGUGAAAC
rnacentral:rRNA from 1 species